rnacentral:rRNA from 1 species
CAAGCGCGUGGAGCAUGUGGCUUAAUUUGACUCAACACGGGAAAUCUUACCGGGUCCGGACAUACCGAGGAUUGACAGACUGUUAACUGCAACACAAGCUGCUAAGUUUUAAACUUAAUAGCUCUUUCAUGAUUAUAUGAUAGGUGGUGCAUGGCCGUUCUUAGUUCGUGGAGUGAUCUGUCUGCUUAAUUGCGUUUCAAAAUUUAAACCUGAGCGACAAGGUGCUGCUAUCGAAACUGUCUUUGAGUGUGAACUAUAAGUCUUUUGACUUAUGACCAUCACUCUAGACGUUUAUGUUUUGGUGUUGGCCCUUGAUGCUCAUUUGAACGCAACGGACGUGAUUGCAACCCCUUGUUGAGAUUUAUCCGAUCUCUACGUUCACUGAACCACACUCUUUAGCGAGAGCAGUGGGGAUGUGGAUAAACUCGGGGGACUGCUGACUAUAAACUUUUCUCAAACCAGAGGA